ACCUGACGCAGCGAGCCGCGUGGGUGAUGAAGGCCUUCGGGUCGUAAAGCCCUGUCGGAGGGACGAAACGUCGACGGCCCAAUACGCCGUCGACCUGACGGUACCUCCUAAGGAAGCACCGGCUAACUCCGUGCCAGCAGCCGCGGUAAUACGGAGGGUGCAAGCGUUGUUCGGAAUCACUGGGCGUAAAGCGCGUGUAGGCGGCCUUCUAAGUCUGGUGUGAAAGCCCGGGGCUCACCCCCGGGAGUGCACUGGAUACUGGAAGGCUAGAGUACCGGAGAGGAGGGUGGAAUUCCUGGUGUAGCGGUGAAAUGCGUAGAUAUCAGGAAGAACACCGGUGGCGAAGGCGGCCCUCUGGACGGAUACUGACGCUGAGACGCGAAAGCGUGGGGAGCAAACAGGAUUAGAUACCCUGGUAGUCCACGCUGUAAACGAUGGGCACUAGGUGCUCGGGGUAUUGACCCCCUGGGUGCCGUAGCUAACGCAUUAAGUGCCCCGCCUGGGGACUACGGCCGCAAGGCUA
rnacentral:rRNA from 1 species